UACGAAGGGGGCUAGCGUUGCUCGGAAUCACUGGGCGUAAAGCGCACGUAGGCGGCUUCUUAAGUCAGGGGUGAAGUCCUGGAGCUCAACUCCAGAACUGCCUUUGAUACUGAGAAGCUUGAGUCCGGGAGAGGUGAGUGGAACUGCGAGUGUAGAGGUGAAAUUCGUAGAUAUUCGCAAGAACACCAGUGGCGAAGGCGGCUCACUGGCCCGGUACUGACGCUGAGGUGCGAAAGCGUGGGGAGCAAACAGG
rnacentral:rRNA from 1 species